GCUGCGAGCCCUGCUGUCCCCACAAGGAUGAAGUAAUCCUAAAGGAGCCAGCGUCCCCAUGUGUCUCUGCCUCCCAGCAUUGUUCACAAGCUUGGAAUGGUACCCUGGGAAGAAGCAUGCUGCAUAUGCUUGGUGAUCAGCUAUGAACCGGCUAUAGAGACAGCAGUGGAUGAAAAUUAAUCUAUUUAAAGAGAGCUACACUGUUGGAUUUAACAGAAGACUGGAGGUAUUGGAGCAGCCUGAUUCUGUUUCUCACCAGAAAUCAAGUAUGCAAAAAGUACUUUUGAAGACAAUGUAGAAGAAAAGACAUAAUUUAACACACUGUAUGAUAAAAUACAAUAAUUAUCUGCCAAGCAAUAAAUCACAUGGCUCCACUUGUUUGAGAAGACCUGGUAUAUAUUGUAAAGAGACAUGAGCAUGAAAACAUAGUAGUUACUUGAUGUGGGAAUAGUAUCUUCAUAUUUCACUGGAUGCAGUUAAAAAAGCCCCAACUUUUUGCCCUCCUUGUUGCAUUAAUGAAAUGUUGUCGACUUUUACACGCCCUUUAAUGUUUUCAAUUAAAAUGCAAACUAUAUUAUGUAUCCCAUUCAAAUUUCAUUAAAUUUUGAUCCUAACAGUAAGAGUUUUCUGUAAGAUACAACAAAUACAAAUCUGGAAAAAAAAGAAAGAUAAUACUCUUACUGGCAUUUUAUAAAAAAAAUUACAAAAACUGGUUUCCAACACAGGCCAAAGGAGACUGAAUUCAUAUUCCAAGAGGGGAUGUUAUAUGUUAUCUGUUGUGUGUGUACACUUGGAGUGAUUUACUUAAUGUAACAUAUAGGGUGUUUAAAAUUAUGCAAAAACUUGAACUGCAAUUAUAUCAAUAUCUGUAGUUGUGAUUAUUCAGAUCACAGUAUUCUGGAAUGUGUUUGAUGUAUUAUGAGUAAUGUUCAAAACUUUCUACAGGUUAUUUUGAAUAUAUAGCUAUAAAUUGAGUAACAGGAUAAAGCAUAGAUCUUUCCAAAACAAUAUAAAAGCCAGAUUGAAAUUUUUAAACAAAGCCAACUUCUAUCUCAGUUAAAAAAGCAACUGAAAAUCUUAAAAUAGCUGAGGUACCUUUCUCCUGCAAAAAAACCUCCAGAAACUCUAAAAAACAAAACUAAUUUGCUCAUUUUCAUGUUUUUUCUUUAACAUCAAAAUUUCAAGGAAUUAUUUCCAAAGACUUAAACCAAUUGAGAAGCAAUGUAGGAUGGAUAUAUAGAAUCUACUUUUGCCGGUACUGGGAUUUGCAGAUAAGGUUGUCUCUCCUCGUAACCCUUAAUAUACAAUGUAGUGAUUAGUCAGAGUGUACUCAUUAAGGGUAGAAAAGGGGGAAAUACUGUACCCAUAAUACAGAUUAGGGGAGGAACAAGUGGUCCACCCCAUCCAAGCUGAAAUGCAUCCUAAAUGAAAUAGAAAUAUAUAGCCUGUUAUUAGUUGUGAAUCUGUAAUGACAGACACUUGAUGCUAUGUUUUAUAACUCAAUUAUAUGAGGAAUGUUUCUUUCGUACUAAUGAAGUUUUGAGUACUCUUGAAAAUGCCUCAUUGUCACUUUCCUGGUAAGGGAAUCUUAAGGAAUAGCCAUUGAAUUUUAGAGGAUAUUUAAGACAUCAAAUGCUCUAAUUUAAUUUUAAAAGUUAUUAAAUUGGACUGGAAAUUUGAAAUACAGUAAAUGUUUAAAGCCAUCAGCCAGAAAUAUGCAUAAGGCAUGCAAAACUGAAAGUGCAAGUGGAUUUCAGAUUGUUCACUGCCUUCUACUAUUUCUCUAAUAAAUCAAGCACAGCAUGACAUGCUUUAUUUUGUGAAAUUAGACACAAAUGCAUGCUUUAUUGUAACUUAAUUCUCUAACUCAGCAAAGCAAGUGUACUCAGUAUUCUAUAUUUUCAAGUAGCAUACCAAUUCAGAACUAGCGCAAAAGCAUUAUACUGCGAGUACUAAAAAGCUAAACAAAAAGCAAUGGGUAUAUUCAAAUCUCAGUUUGCAGCUACUUCUGCUUAGUACAUACACUAAUUGAGAUGAGAAUAUAAACCCUAAGACAGAAAUUUAAAUUAAAUUAAAGCAAUCCUUUACUUUGCCUUCCAGCAUCUGGGUGGAGUCGGUUUUGAGAUUCAAUAUAGAAAGUAUGAAAAUUUCUCAGAAUUCAGUAUACUAGCAGAUAUUCUAAAUGCCUUUAAUAGGGCAAAAUUCACUUCUGUGCUUAAGGCAAGCACAGGCUAUGGAUCACUUGUACCCUAUUUUGGUACAGGUGAUUCAUGUAUCUUAUAUUUACUUUGGAAAGAGAGAAUUUAUCCCAUUUAUGAAACAGCAUAAUUAUAAAAUUAAGUUGUAACUAAAGAGGAUAGCUGAAGACUUCUAAGAACGUAGCUUAAAAUCUGAAGUGUGUUUCAUAUUUAGGCAUAACAAAAUAGUCAUUAGCAUUUACUGACUGUGUAAAAUGCUGCAUUCUUCCUAUUCAUGGAAUACUUACUAAAGAAAAACAUUGACUGAAUUAAAGUAGCGAGUACUUGGCAAAUUGUUUUACAAAAUGAUCCAGAGCCUUUUAUAUAUACAGCCUCUUGUGGAACACUUAAGAUAUUCUACAUUUUCAAUGCAAAAUUUGCACAGUUUUGAACAUGGGUAAACAGUAAAAUUUAAAUACAUGCUGAAUAAAAUCUCUGUUUUAUCACAGCUCAGUGUAGAUAUGGGCAAUAUAAGAAAGCAAAGAGGGCUGAUUUAUUUUUACUUUCUGCAGGCAGAAAAAAGAAUCUCUUUUUAUGAAUUCUUAUGUAAUGAACUCAGUUUCUGAGAAGACUGCAAUUUGACUACAGUCUUAUGAGCUGGUCAAUUAUUUAUUAUUUGAAUGUUUUACUGUUCGUGAGUCAUUCAUAAAGUAAUGCCAACAACUGUCAGUGAGCUGUUUUGAAUACUUGCCAAGUGCUUUGGAAAAAACCGCUAUUUCAGAAGUGCAUGUAGUAACCAUAAGGCCUAUAUAUAUUUGGCCAGUCAAAUCUGAAAAGUGACUGGAAUCAGAUACUUCAUUGACUACCAUUAAUAUUGGAGGACAGAGCUGAAGCCUAUUGGCUUUUCCAAGCUUGUCUGUGAUUCCUACAAAGUAAAUUGCUCAUUAAUUAUUAAUGUUGUGUAGCUGAAAUUCUAUCAUAUGAUUGGGCUUCUGGCAGAGUUUCAUAGUUAUUCAGCAAGCAAUAGGGGAAAGCAGUAAAUAGAUUUCAAAUAACAGGUACCUUAAUAACAGCUUCUUUAUGCAUGAAUAUCCUAAAUCUUGUAAGUGGAAAAUUUACUAAGGCAAUCACGUAAAGAUACAGAAAAAUGAAAUAAAACAUUUGGCAAUCAAUUUUGACAUCUUUCUAGAAAUGACCUUGUCUUCCAAUAUCUUUUUAAGAGCUGCAUUUUUUUCCUCCCUGCAUAAUAUCUGUACUGGUCUCCCAGUCCUCCUGCAGCUGACCAGAACAUAAUUUAAAAAGUAAAGCUGACAGCAGUUUCCCAACAUUUCUCUGCACAAAACCACAUACAUUUACCUGAAUGUUCAUGAACAGUAUGUACAAAGAAAGACAAAGAGAAAAUGGCUAAAUCAAAUAGUUGCAUAUUAUGUAGUACUUGACCAGCUCUUACCCUCUUGAAUAUCAGUUCAUGAGUUUCAAAUAAAGAGAAAACUGUUAAAAGUCAAUUUGCUGCAUGAGGCUGAAAUUUAAAUCUAGUAAUUAUUGGUUAGCAAUGUAUUUUCUGCUGCAUUCUGAAGUAGAGAUAGGUAGUCUGCUGAAUACAAUUUCAGGAAAAGAAUUCAAAGCCUCGGUUUGACUUCAUUAAUCUUGGAUUUUUUUCUAAAGAUUUUGCAUUGUUUCCUCUUAUGUUUCUAUGAUGCAGGAAAAAGCAUUCUCUUAAAGCAUAUUUCAUUGACAUGCAUAUAGAGUUAGUUUGUAUUCAGUGGCUUUAAGGAACAGAAGGUAUAAACAAAUGAAAAAAUAAGUCAAAAUGCCUUCUUGAGUGAGAUGAAUAGUAAGCAGGGUCUCUAAAUUAUUCAGAGUAGCAAGAAAUAACCUUGUAUACAUUGUAUUGAAUAUUGAAUAGAGAUUAGUUGAAAUACAAAAGCAUUUACCUUACAAAAAAAAUAACUUCAUACAGGAAUCAAAGAACUUGAUUUGCUUUUUUAAGUCAGCCAAACUCAGAAAUAGAUUUAAACCACUAGUGGGUAUGAAUAUAUCUGUAGUAUCAUCUAAUAAAAUUCAGUGGGGUUAGAUGAAAGGGGGCUUAUAAAAUAUAAUGAAAAAUGAAGAAUUUCAAUUUCUAUCAGAAAAUAUCUUUGUUAACUAAUGCUAAAUUAGAGUCCUGUAUAAAUAUUGUGAUAUGUUUAUCAGUAAAAAAACAAAUAAAAUUUUGUUA